rnacentral:rRNA from 1 species
UACAGAGGGUGCAAGCGUUAAUCGGAUUUACUGGGCGUAAAGCGCGCGUAGGUGGCCAAUUAAGUCAAAUGUGAAAUCCCCGAGCUUAACUUGGGAAUCGCAUUCGAUACUGGUUGGCUAGAGUAUGGGAGAGGAUGGUAGAAUUCCAGGUGUAGCGGUGAAAUGCGUAGAGAUCUGGAGGAAUACCGAUGGCGAAGGCAGCCAUCUGGCCUAAUACUGACACUGAGGUGCGAAAGCAUGGGGAGCAAACAGG